rnacentral:rRNA from 1 species
UACGGGGGGGGCAAGCGUUGUUCGGAAUUACUGGGCGUAAAGGGCUCGUAGGCGGCCAACUAAGUCAGACGUGAAAUCCCCAGGCUCAACCUGGGAACUGCGUCUGAUACUGGAUGGCUUGAAUUCGGGAGAGGGAUGCAGAAUUCCAGGUGUAGCGGUGAAAUGCGUAGAUAUCUGGAGGAACACCGGUGGCGAAGGCGGCAUCCUGGACCGGUAUUGACGCUGAGGCGCGAAAGCGUGGGGAGCGAACAGG